rnacentral:rRNA from 1 species
UACGUAGGGGGCAAGCGUUGGUCCGGAAUCAUUGGGCGUAAAGCGCGCGUAGGCGGCCAGAUAAGUCCGGUGUGAAAGUCACAGGCUCAACCUGUGAAUGCCGCUGGAAACUGUCUGGCUUGAGUCCGGAAGGGGCGAGUGGAAUUCCUGGUGUAGCGGUGAAAUGCGCAGAUAUCAGGAGGAACACCGAUGGCGAAGGCAGGUCUCUGGGCAUUAACUGACGCUGAGGAGCGAAAGCAUGGGGAGCGAACAGG